rnacentral:rRNA from 1 species
GGGUUCGAUUCCGGAGAGGGAGCCUGAGAAACGGCUACCANNNNNAAGGAAGGCAGCAGGCGCGCAAAUUACCCAAUCCCAAUACGGGGAGGUAGUGACAAUAAAUAACAAUAUGGGGCUCUUACGGGUCUCGUAAUUGGAAUGAGUACAAUUUAGAUCUCUUAACGAGGAACAAUUGGAGGGCAAGUCUGGUGCCAGCAGCCGCGGUAAUUCCAGCUCCAAUAGCGUAUAUUAAAGUUGUUGCAGUUAAAAAGCUCGUAGUUGAAUUUCGGAGUUUGUCGGUUGGUCGGGCUUCACUGUCCGCACUGGCCUGAUGGAUUCCUACCUUCUGAAUAACCAGCAUGCUAUUAAGUUAGUGCGUUGGGGAAGCAGAGCUAUUACCUUGAAAAAAUUANAGUGCUUAAAGCAGGCUUUUGCUUGAAUGGAUUANCAUGGAAUAAUAAAAUAGG